rnacentral:misc_RNA from 1 species
GAUGAAGAACGUAGCGAAAUGCGAUAAGUAAUGUGAAUUGCAGAAUUCAGUGAAUCAUCGAAUCUUUGAACGCACCUUGCGCCCUUUGGCUAUUCCGAAGGGCAUGCCUGUUUGAGUAUCAUGAACACCUCAACUCUCAUGGUUUGCCAUGAUGAGCUUGGACUUUGGGGGUCUUGCCGGCCUAUGGGUCGGCUCCUCUCAAAUUAAUCAGCUUGCCAGUGUUUGGUGGCAUCACAGGUGUGAUAACUAUCUACGCUUGUGGUUUUCCAUCAGGUAACCUUCAGUGAUGGAGGUUCGCUGGGGCUCAUAAAUGUCUCUCCUCAGUGAGGACAGCUUUUUUGAACGUUUGAUCUCAAAUCAGGUAGGACUACCCGCUGAACUUAAGCAUAUCAAUAAGCGGAGA